UACAGAGACUGCAAGCGUUAUUCGGAUUCACUGGGCGUAAAGGGUGCGCAGGCGGCCGUGUGUGUGAGGCGUGGAAAGCCCGGGGCUUAACCCCGGAAUUGCACCUCAAACUACAUGGCUAGAGCAUUGGAGAGGGUAGCGGAAUUCACGGUGUAGCAGUGAAAUGCGUAGAUAUCGUGAGGAACACCAGAGGCGAAGGCGGCUACCUGGACAAUUGCUGACGCUCAGGCACGAAAGCGUGGGGAGCAAAAGGG
rnacentral:rRNA from 1 species